AUUGAACGCUGGCCGGAGGCCUAACACAUGCAAGUCGAACGAGUGGCGGACGGGUGAGUAAUGUCUGGGAAACUGCCUGAUGGAGGGGGAUAACUACUGGCAACGGUAGCUAAUACCGCCUACCAUCAGAUGUGCCCAGAGGGGCUGAGCUUGUUGGGGGGGUAACGGCUCACAAAGGCGACGAUCCCUAGCUGGUCUGAGAGGAGGACAAGCCACAAUGGAAGUGAGAGACGGUGAAGACGCCUACGAGAGGCAGCAGUGGGGAAUAUUGGAUAACGGGCGCAAGCCUGAAGCAGCCAUGGGGAGUGUAGGAAGAAGGCCUCCGGGUCGUAGAGCACGUUGGGAGGGGAGGAGUUACCCGCAGAAGAAGCACAGGCUAACUCCGGGCCAGCAGCCGCGGUAAUUC
rnacentral:rRNA from 1 species